AUUGAACGCUGGCGGCAUGCCUUACACAUGCAAGUCGAACGGUAGCGGGCCUUCGGGUGCCGACGAGUGGCGAACGGGUGAGUAAUGUAUCGGAACGUACCUUUAAGUGGGGGAUAACGUAGCGAAAGUUACGCUAAUACCGCAUAUUCUGUCCGCAGCAAAUCAGGGGACCUUCGGUCCAUGCGCUGAUUGAGCGGCCGAUAACAGAUUAGCUAGUUGGUGAGGUAAAGGCUCACCAAGGCAACGAUCUGUAGCGGGUCUGAGAGGAGGAUCCGCGCCACUGGAACGGAGACACAGUCCAGACUCCUACGGGAGGCAGCAGUGGGGAAUUUUGGAAGAUGGGGGCAACCCUGAUCCAGCCAUGCCGCGUGAGUGAAGAAGGCCUUCUGGUUGUAAAGCUCUUUCGGCCGGGAAGAAAUCGUAUCAGCUAAUACCUGGUGCGGAUGACGGUACCGGCAUAAGAAGCACCGGCUAACUACGUGCCAGCCGCCGCCGCGGUAA
rnacentral:rRNA from 1 species